UUCGUGCCGGCGAUGUGUUGUGUUUUUUUAUUCGUAUUAUUCUUAUUUCCAAACCAGAAAACAAAAACCCGAGAAAUCCCUUAUUUAUAUGGCAUUUCCACGCACGGGGGGCGGGAGGGGUGUUUGCGAGGAGCCUCCCCCAUCUCUCCCUUUUCCCUUUUCGCAUCUGAGAGAGAGAGAAGGAGAGAGAGAGAAGGAGAGACACAGAGAGAGAGAGAGCGAAGGAAGGAAGGAAGGAAGGAAGGGCGCGCGCACAUACCUUCAUCUCUUCAUUGAUUUCCCUUUUCACGGGGAGAGAGAGAGAGAGAGAGACAAGUAGGGGCGCGCGCCCGCCAGCCAGCGGCCCCGGAGCAAGCGGCCAGGAUGGAUGGAGGAUGCUGCGCGCGCGAUACUGGCUUGGCCAGCUGCCCGGCUGCCCGCCCGCCUGCCUGCGUCUCUCUCUCUGCAGCGCGAUUUCACCUUUAGGGAAGACGGUGAUGAAGAAGAAGAAAUACACCCAUCACCAAUAAAAUAAAAUAAAAAGACGUCGCGCAGAGAAGCUGCCUGCCCACGCCACUCGGAGAGCAACGCAUCUGCCGUCGCCCUGAAAGCACUCCCGCUGGGGCGGAGUUUGACGUUUCCAUGGGUGGGCGGCUGUUGGCGAGGGGCUCAGCCGCAGAAGCCGCUCUAGCAUCCGAGAAGCAGAGGCAUUCGCGCAGAAGGAGAGGCUUUUGUUGUGCGUGGUUUUGGCGGGAGGAAGGCUUACGCACGCCCAGGCUGGGAACGGCCCUUCCAAAAAAGAGAAGAAAAAGGCACUAGUCCUCAGGAAAAGGGGCGUUUGUCCCAGAAGCAAGAGGAGGGCUGGGCUCCCCCCCCCCCCGCCAUUCCUUCCUAGGGAUUAAUGCGAGCCAUCAAGGCUUUGGCCCAGAGCCCCUUCCCUCCAGUGCCAACACAGUCAGGUCGAGAGCGUGUUCUUGAAUGAUAAGGCAGAGUGCCUUUGCCUGCCCCACCGCUCUCACCACAACCAGACCCCCCCCCGUCAGAAGCACGUGUCCGAAACCAGGGGGUCACACCUAUCCGUGCCUGAUAAUAAUUGAUGAUGAAGAAGAAGUAAUAACUAUCAUGGACACGGUAAAUGCCUCCUCUUUCUCUUCUGUGUGGACAGCCCUUUGUCUCAUAAACAUCAUUACCUCCUUCCCACCGCUAGCUUGAAAGCAGCCCCCAAAUAAUUCGGCUUUGCCCCCAAUCGUUCUACAAAGGCAGGGCUAACUGGUCCCAGUCGUUAGUUUGGAAAGUAACCUGGAAAUUAAAUACCCACUCCAUUAGCAGCGCCCCCUUCCCUCUUUCCCCUUCCUCACGUCGCACGUUUUGAUCUUCUAUAGAUCCAGGUAACUCUCCCCCCCCCCCGAAGCAGACGCACUCUGUCAUUUUAAAAGGCUUUGCUUACAUCUAUUUUGUUUCCGUCUUUAUAAGCGUGGAGAGGAAGGUGGGGGGUGAUGUGUGGUGCUGAUGAUAGGGUGAACUUGCAAAACGAAGCUCUGAAUUAUUGCACACAGUGAAGGGGGAUACCUUGAUUAUUCCCGGUUCGUGCUUUCCUACACUUUGGCAGUUCAUAAUUACCUGAUACAAUACAAUAUGGGGGUGUCCAUUGUUCCAUUAGUCAAAAUUGUAAUUGUGAAGGAAUUUGUCAUUAUGACUGCAGCUGAGCUUAAAAUUAUAUCCCUUUUUUCUUAAAUAAAAAAACUUCAAAAAAAAUUAAAGACAGAAUGCGUUCAGUGUAGCUAUGAAGAGGCUCUCUUUUAAAAAACAACAACAACAACCCCCUUUCGCCUGUCAAAUCUAGCUAAGAUCGUUUUAUACCUUACAAUGUCUGAUUUGCAUUUCUGUUUAAGUUUAGACAUGAGCUAAAAAAAGAAGGGUUUUUUGCUGGAUUCCUGACUAGAAUGUGCCACAUUUGACUCUGCUAAGACAGCAAGGUAGAAGUACUUCAGCAAAAAUAGAGUUCUGAAAGACAUUUAUGGCAGAAGGCAUCAAAUCUCUUAUUCCAGAGAAUCUCACUGAAGUCCAGUGGAAUUUGCUAGGAUGUACUCUGAAAGUUGGAUGGGGAUUCAUCUGAGAAAAGCCUUAAAUCCCUGCUGGUCUGAAAAGCAAACAAGCGAGUUCCAUAGACUGCAAUGUAACUUGUUUCCAAAUGUGCAGGGAGAUUGCCAGUGACACUCAGUUAAUCGUUGUAUUCAGCUUUUAAUCUGUAAAAUGUUUUACAGCCAUUUUAAUAGUAGCAAUGAGAAAUUGUAUUUUAGAGCAUUUCAUAUUGACCACUAUAAUCCUUACUGCCUUCACCCCAUAUAAAAAUCCACCAGUGAUACAGGUCACUGUUAUUAUCUCUAUAACAGAGUGGUGGGACAGUAGAUUGUAUGGGGCAACCACCUACUCAGUUCAUGACAGAGGUGAUAUCUGGACUAUGAGAUUCCUGGUUCAAGUUUUUGAACUGUGAGAACAGGAUGCUGGAUUAGAUGGAGCUUUGGCCUGAUCAAGCAGACUUUUCUUGUGUUCUUAGCCAUUACAUUGCAGGAACUCUCAACAGCCUCAUCUUUAUUGCAUUUUGACCCUAGUACAAAUAUGAGGCUGGGCAAUAAAUAGGGUAUUGUCCAGGUCCACGUAAUAAGCCUACAGUAGAAGUAGAACUUGCAUUCAGGGUUCACAAUCCUCACCCACCUGAACACUGGUUCAUAGUACCGUAUUUUUCACCGCAUAGGGCGCACCGGCCCAUAGGGUGCACCUAGUUUUUUUGGGGGGGAAAUAAAG